GAUGAACGCUGGCGGCGUGCUUAACACAUGCAAGUCGAACGGACAGGCCCUGCUCUUGCGGGGUUCUCGAGUGGCGCACGGGUGAGUAACACGCGAGUAACCUGCCCUUAUCUUUGUGAUAACUUCAGGAAACUGGGGCUCUUACCGCAUAGGAUCUCCUGCACCACGGUGGGGGUUGGAAAGUUUCGGCGGUUGGGGAUGGACUCGCGGCUUAUCAGCUUGUUGGUGUGGUAGUGGCUUACCAAGGCUUUGACGGGUAGCCGGCCUGAGAGGGUGACCGGCCACCAGGGGCCUGAGGUACGGACCAGAAUGCUACGGGAGGCAGCAGUGGGGAGUAUUGCGGAACGGGCGGACGCCUGAUGCAGAAGCGUCGCGUGCGGGAUGCCGGCCUUCGGGUUGAAAACAGCUUUCGCCUGUGACGAAGACUGAGUGACGGUAAUGGGUAAAGAAGCACCGGCUAACUACGUG
rnacentral:rRNA from 1 species